rnacentral:rRNA from 1 species
AGUGAACGCUGGCGGUAGGCCUAACACAUGCAAGUCGAACGGCAGCACAGUAAGAGCUUGCUCUUACGGGUGGCGAGUGGCGGACGGGUGAGGAAUACAUCGGAAUCUACUUUUUCGUGGGGGAUAACGUAGGGAAACUUACGCUAAUACCGCAUACGACCUACGGGUGAAAGCAGGGGAUCUUCGGACCUUGCGCGAUUGAAUGAGCCGAUGUCGGAUUAGCUAGUUGGCGGGGUACAGGCCCACCAAGGCGACGAUCCGUAGCUGGUCUGAGAGGAUGAUCAGCCACACUGGAACUGAGACACGGUCCAGACUCCUACGGGAGGCAGCAGUGGGGAAUAUUGGACAAUGGGGGGAAUACUGAUCCAGGCAUACCGCGUGGGUGAAGAAGGCCUUCGGGUUGGAAAGCCGUUUUGUUGGGAAAGAAAAGCAGCAGGUUAAUACCCCGCUGUUCUGACGGUACCCAAAGAAUAAGCACCGGCUAACUUCGUG